GGCUUAAAAGAGCAUUAUGUCCAUGAGUCAAAGGCUGGCUCCACAGAACAUUAAUAAGCACGGGCAGAGCGAAUAAGUGAACAGCUUUCUGUUCAGAGGAAGAGGAAAUGGAGGUUGGGAUUCUCCACACCAUUAGAAAGUCGACAACUUAAAAAUCAUGAGCUAGUUCCCCAACGUGGAGCUCCUUCCUCAAGGGGCCAUAAAACUUCGAGAAACUGCUGAGUCAGCCUCCAGACUCAGACGCAGAGGGUGGGGUGGAGAGAUGCCCAAUCCAGGAGGCAGGUGGGACCCAGAGCAUCGCUGUCUGGAUCCAUGAGAAGUCGGAGCCUGGGCACAGAGAAGGGCUAUUGCUGACAGUUGGGUGUGGCCAGUCUUGCCUUGCUGUCAGCUGCCCUUCUGAAAUUGUUUUAAUUGAAGUUCCAUGAAUCCUGGGGAGUUCAGACGGAGUUCAUCUCCAAGCCCAUCCUGAUUUCAUUAAAGAUUUGAUCUUUCCUUUUUC